rnacentral:rRNA from 1 species
GACGUAGGGCGCGAGCGUUGUCCAGAUUUAUUGGGCGUAAAGAGCUCGUAGGCGGCUCGUUGCGUCGGCUGUGAAAACCCGCAGCUCAACUGUGGGCUUGCAGCUGAUACGGGCGGGCUGGAGUUCGGUAGGGGAGACUGGAAUUCCCGGUGUAGCGGUGAAAUGCGCAGAUAUCGGGAGGAACACCGGUGGCGAAGGCGGCCUUCUGGACCAAUACUGACGCUCAUGCACGAAAGCGUGGGGAGCAAACAGG